rnacentral:rRNA from 1 species
UACGAAGGGGGCUAGCGUUGCUCGGAAUUACUGGGCGUAAAGCGCACGUAGGCGGCUUCUUAAGUCGGUGGUGAAAUCCUGGAGCUCAACUCCAGAACUGCCUUCGAUACUGGGAAGCUCGAGUCCGGGAGAGGUGAGUGGAACUGCGAGUGUAGAGGUGAAAUUCGUAGAUAUUCGCAAGAACACCAGUGGCGAAGGCGGCAUCCUGGACCAAUAUUGACGCUGAGGAGCGAAAGCCAGGGGAGCAAACGGG